rnacentral:rRNA from 1 species
UACGAAGGGGGGCUAGCGUUGUUCGGAAUCACUGGGCUUAAAGGGCGCGUAGGCGGUCCGACAAGUCGGGGGGUGAAAUCCUGCAGCUUAACUGCAGAAGUGCCUUCGAUACUGUCGGUCUUGAGGGAGAUAGGGGUGUGCGGAACUUCCAGUGGAGCGGUGAAAUGCGUUGAUAUUGGAAGGAACGCCGGAGGCGAAAGCGGCGCACUGGAUCUCUACUGACGCUGAGGCGCGAAAGCCAGGGGAGCAAACGGG